UGCCCCAUGGCUUAGUUGGUUACAGCGUCCGACUGUUAUGUGAUCUCAAGCCGAUCCUGUACAUCGGAAGGUCGAGAGUUCGAGCCUCUCUGGGGCAG